UGUGUAGGCCAAAGGAGCCACUUUGAUUCCAACUAGAAAGCAAUAAUAACACCAUUCCUAAACAUUAUUGGAGAGACACAUAAGGCUUCGACAAUGAAGAAGAAAGAGAGAGAGAUGUACCACCGAUGGAGGCAGAGAAAAUGGGAAAGAAGAAAAUGGAGUCGCAUCUAUGGUUUAAUGCAGUUUUUGUCACCUUCAAAUGACACCAUCGGAUCCCUAUCUCAUCUUCAUUUUCUCCUUAUCACUCCACCAUUUUCGUCACAAUAAUGAUCAACAAGUUCAAAGAUCAUUCUCUUACCAUAACAUGCUUAUCGGUGGUGCAAAAACUCGGGUUUUCACUCUAUUUUCGAUUCCCUUUCAUUUGAUGGUGAUAAACAAACCCUCUUGGAACAAAGAAACUCAUCACCGAGACUUAUAAGCAAUUUUAAGAUCACGAGGAGUACGUGUAGCGUAUCUAGACGACGACGAAGACUUGAGAGAGGCAACAUCUGCGUGUUUAUAAAAUAAAAGUUUUAAAAUUCCCAUAUUUUUGUUUGGUAUUAUUUUAUUGGUUUUAGUCCAUGUGGCGCAUCCUGUUUACGAGAAUCGGGAUACGGGUGUCACAAUGACAUUCACACUCCAACUUGAGGGAGGGUAAUAGCGUAUAUUCCUGUAUGAGAAGAACAAGGAAAGUUUCAUGUCAUAUAUAUGUUUUUCUUUUCUUUCUCGAUACUAGGUUACUGGCAAAACUCUGUAUAUAUACUUCUUCUUCUCUGUGAAUAAGAUCAUCGAACCUUUUGUCUC